rnacentral:rRNA from 1 species
UGCUCCGCCCCACCUCAUGGUGGGGGGGGAAAUGCUUUUUGCGGCAUGGGAUGGGGUCGCGUCCUAUCAGCUUGUUGGGGGGGUGACGGCCCACCAUCGCAUUGACGGGUAGCCGGCCUGAGAGGGUGACCGGCCACUUUGGGACUGAGAUACGGCCCACACUCCUACGGGAGGCAGCAGUGGGAAAUAUUGCACAAUGGGCGCAAGCCUGAUGCACCCACCCCGCGUGCGGAAUGGAUGCCUUCGGUUUGUAAACCUUUUUUGUUCAAGGGCAAGGCACGGCUUCGGGCCUUGUUGAGUGGAUUGUUCAAAUAACCACCGGCUAACUACGUGCCAUCAGCCGCGGUAAUACGUAGGGUGCAAUCGUUAUCCGAAUUUAUUGGGCGUAAAGGGCUCGUAGGCGGUUCGUCACGUCCGGUGUGAAAGUCCAUCUCCUAACGGUGGAUCUGCGCCGGGUACGGGCGGGCUGGAGUGCGGUAGGGGAGACUGGAAUUCCCGGUGUAACGGUGGAAUGUGUAGAUAUCGGGAAGAACACCAAUGGCGAAGGCAGGUCUCUGGGCCGUUACUGACGCUGAGGAGCGAAAGCGUGGGGAGCGAACAGGAUUAGAUACCCUGGUAGUCCACGCCGUAAACGGUGGAUGCUGGAUGUGGGGCCCUUUCCACGGGUCCUGUGUCGGAGCCAACGCGUUAAGCAUCCCGCCUGGGGAGUACGGCCGCAAGGCUAAAACUCAAAGAAAUUGACGGGGGCCCGCACAAGCGGCGGAGCAUGCGGAUUAAUUCGAUGCAACGCGAAGAACCUUACCUGGGCUUGACAUGUGCCGGAUCGCCCCGGAGACGGGGUUUCCCUUCGGGGCGGGUUCACAGGUGGUGCAUGGUCGUCGUCAGCUCGUGUCGUGAGAUGUUGGGUUAAGUCCCGCAACGAGCGCAACCCUCGCCGCAUGUUGCCAGCGGGUUAUGCCGGGAACUCAUGUGGGACCGCCGGGGUCAACUCGGAGGAAGGUGGGGAUGACGUCAGAUCAUCAUGCCCCUUACGUCCAGGGCUUCACGCAUGCUACAAUGGCCGGUACAACGGGAUGCGACACGGUGACGUGGGGCGGAUCCCUGAAAACCGGUCUCAGUUCGGAUCGCAGUCUGCAACUCGACUGCGUGAAGGCGGAGUCGCUAGUAAUCGCGGAUCAGCAACGC